UACGGAGGGUGCUAGCGUUGUUCGGAAUUAUUGGGCGUAAAGGGCAGGUAGGUGGUCUCUCAAGUCCACUGUGAAAGCCCUGGGCUCAACCCAGGAAGUGCACACGAAACUGUCAGGCUUGAAUAUGGAAGAGGGUCGCGGAAUUCCCGGUGUAGAGGUGAAAUUCGUAGAUAUCGGGAGGAACACCAGUGGCGAAGGCGGCGACCUGGGCCAAUAUUGACGCUGAGGUGCGAAAGCGUGGGGAGCAAACAGG
rnacentral:rRNA from 1 species